UCAUAAGCGAAGAACCAGUUGAGUAGUGAAGGCGGCUCUGGUAAAGAGACCUAACGGUGCUGGAAGUUAGGCUAUCCGUCUUGAUGAAUUACGCUGGGGAGCGGCCGUUAAUUCGGCGGGUCAUUCCGUUAAAGAUGACGAGCGGUUGUCAAUUGACAACAACUUGGGUGGUAACGCGGAUUUUAAUUCGUCCCUGAU
rnacentral:ncRNA from 1 species